GAUGAACGCUGGCGGCGUGCCUAAUACAUGCAAGUCGAACGAGGAGUUUCUGUAUUCGUACGGAGACUUCCUAGUGGCGAACGGGUGAGUAACGCGUUGGUGACCUGCCCCAAAGUGGGGGAUAACUCCGGGAAACUGGAGCUAAUACCCCAUGUGGUCAUGCAGAUUAGAACCUGCAUGUCUAAAGGAGUAAUUCGCUUUGGGAGGGACCUGCGUCCCAUCAGCUAGUUGGUAGGGUAACGGCCUACCAAGGCUACGACGGGUAGGGGGCCUGAGAGGGUGGCCCCCCACAAUGGAACUGAAACACGGUCCAUACACCUACGGGUGGCAGCAGUAGGGAAUAUUGCACAAUGGACGAAAGUCUGAUGCAGCAACGCCGCGUGUGCGAUGAAGGCCUUCGGGUCGUAAAGCACUUUUCUGAAGGAAGA
rnacentral:rRNA from 1 species